rnacentral:lncRNA from 1 species
GGGAGGGCUGAAUAGUGGCUGUUGAGUCAGGCAGUGGAGGCAGCACAGAGGCCCUUGGUGUGCACGAUUGUGAGAAAAAGAGUAGAAACCCAGUCAGAACAAUGGUGGCAGAACAAUGGCGCAAGAAGAGAAGAUGCUUUAAGGAAAGCCAAAAGCUGACUAUUGGGAAUCAAAUGAAGAAGAUAGUGUCCUUAGGAGAUGCAAAGUACAGUGUAGUAUGUGGGAGGGCCUUUUGCUUUUGUUUUUACCUCUAAUUGUAGGAUCCCAGCGCCUCCUUAAAAUUCAUAUUUCCAUCGUCUGCUCUCCAACAUUAUUAUACCAAAGCAGAGGAAUAACCUACAGAAAAGAGUAAUUUUUUUCACUCAUUCCAUAAAUAUUCUUAAGCACAUACUUCAUGCCAGGAGCAAAGCAACAACAGUUGCAGGAGUUCUCUGGGGGUUCAGCAGGUUAAGGAUCUGGCCUGGUCACUACUGUGGUAUAGGUUUGAUCCUUGGUCCAGAAACUUUUUCUAUGCCCAGGGAGCAGCCGCCCCCCGCCCCCGGCCAACCCCACCAAAAAAAAAAGCAACAGCUGCAACAACAAUAAAGUAGUGGAUUUAUUGAUAAUUUAUUAUGUGUCAAUUACUCAUCUCACUUUUUGACAGGCAUCAUCUCAUUUAAAUUAUCCUAAAUCGGAGUUCCCGUCGUGGCGCAGUGGUUAACGAAUCCAACUAGGAACCAUGAGGCUGCGGGUUCGGUCCCUGCCCUUGCUCAGUGGGUUAACGAUCCGGCGUUGCCGUGAGCUGUGGUCAGCCCAAGAAAUGGCAAAAAGACAAAAAUAAAUAAAUAAAUAAAUAAUAAAUUGUCCUAAAUCUUCACUGGGCAUUUCCUACUAUUUAUCCCAUUUUAUGGAUGAGAAAAACUGAGACGCAGAGGGAAUAAGUUGCCACCCAGAGCUAGAGUCACAGGGUUAUGCUGGUCCCACAUGUGGUCUCUAAAACACAAACUCAUAAUCACCAUGCCACUGGCUAACAGUUAGAGGCUGUCCUUUGAUCCCCUAUCACUUCUUGUUGGACCUUUGGUCAAAGCUCCUCUCUUGAAAUCCUUCCCUAGUUAACAUCAAGCAUUCCAUGAUACCGAAUUUACCUAAUAAAUGUAGCUAUCAUACCAAAUAUUUAUUAUCCUUUUUUAGCACCUGGUAGAAUAAGGAUCCUUCCGGUUCUAAAAUUUUCUCACAUUCUAUUUGUUUUUAAUCAUUUUAAUGGGAGGGUCCCAUGAGGUUAGUUUCUGUCCUGGGAGGGUCUUGACUGAACCAUGGCUGGAUGGAGAUCCUUUCUCUUGCCCCUUUCUCUUUCUAGUCUUUUCUUUCCUCUGCUUAAUUCAGAGAGUUGAUUAGAUGACCCAAGGUGCCUGGAUGGAUGCCAGUGGGUAUACACAACAUGAAGAAGGUAUCAUCACUGUCUCACAGAUACCUGCAUUCCAGAGGAUCUCAUCAGAUCAUAAGGGCUCUUUGGGAUAAUUAAUAAUUGGUCCUCACAGCACCCCUGGGAAGUACCUGGGUACACAGCAAAGAUACACAGAGAGUAAAUGAGCAUUUCUGGAGUGCAAGACAAUUUCCUCCUCAGUGAAAUGGGACAAUUACAGUGAUCCACCUUACAGGAGUGUCAAUUAUUCACAAUCUAAAAGCCCUGGGAAUUGCAAACUGCACUAGGAAUACGUACACACUGAGUGGUUGUAUUGUACUUAAUUGACAUUCUCCUUUCCCUCCCUUGCUCCCUGCAAGUCAAACCACAGUGACACCCGUGAGUGUACCUUGGGUCCUGGUUAUUGACAUGGAGCCUGCCUCUCUGCAUCAAAGAUCUGCCUGGAUCACACCAGAGGAUAGAAGAACAAACCUGCCAGGUGUUGACGGGCUAAUGACAAGCAACUUAAAUGGAAUUCUGACAAGCCUUUGCAGCCUUAUACAUAAACAUAAUUAAUCAACACAGAAUACACACUUGAUAGCUACAAGUAAAGCAGGAAGCAAAGUAUGGGGAUAAAGGGGAAAACAACAGAUUGAUAUUGCUGGAUGAUGGGAAUCUCAAAGCCCACCUGAGUGGUGCCAGGCACAAGUGUGGUAUUCGCAAUAGGCUGUUAACACCUGCCUCCAAUGACCCACUCAUCUUUGGAUCCUGUUCUCCUGGGCUUUAGGUAUUUCCUCUCUCAUUCCCAUCCUCUACCCCCGCCCUCUCAUUCUCAUCUUUUUGUGUGCCACUGUCCUAGCUCUGCGAUGAAUUGAAACGGUGAGCCUCAGGCAAAGAAUAGAGCCUAUAUGUUAUUUUGAUUCAAUUAAAUAUGAAACUGAGUUGCAAACACAAAACACAUCAUUUCUGCUUCACUGCUUUUCACCUUGGAAUUGCUUAUGCAUUUCAUUUUUGCCGCGUUUACCACUCGAUCCCUUCCAUUUUCUCUGUCAACCUUUCUUCCUUAUACAACUCCUUAUUUCGGGCAGCACCUCUGAUUCCACUUGUUCUUGUACAAACUCAUUCAUUUUCUUUUGAGAGGUAGUUGUAGGAGUGACUCCAGUAAAAUGAAUGUAAAUGAUAUUUCUGGAUAAAAGAGCUCUUCUGUAUUUUCCACUGACUGCCUAAAUCCCGGGCUCUGCUAAUGAUACGUGUGGCUGGGAUCUAGCCUGGAAUGAGGAGGGGAAACUGAAGAACAGAAGAGAGAGCUGAAUGAUCAUUGGAGGUGGAGUCAGAAGCACAAUAAAAAUUGGGAAAGAAACUAUCCAAAGGAGUGUCUUUCAAAAUAUAAGCUAGAUCAUUCUUUAGAACUUAAUUCUUACUAGAAAACAUACAUUUUUCUUCCAAACACAUGCAGUGACUUACUCUCCACCUGGACCCCUUUGAGACAGCAGUAAUGCUGUCAUCGCUGUGAUUUUCAGAGAAGUUGAAAUAGUUAAAACAUAUCAAUGCUUGCUAUAUAAAAGAAGGCAGAAAGAGAGUCAGGUGAAUUCAACCCAAAGGUCUUGGGACAACUGCACAAACUUCUCAUACCCACCUGACUAGUAAAGUUCCUUGUUUCUUAUUAGUUAAACGCUUGCCACGUGAUCAUACACCUGAGUCCCACCCCCUGGUUGAUUUCAGGAUGAAGGUGACUUUGACUCAAUGGCUAAGAUGGAGCCAUUUUUAUAUUUGCCUCAGGAAAAUGAGGAGUGAGGGCACACAUUUGAAUUCUAAAGCUGCAUUGAAUAAACAAAAAAAAAAAA